rnacentral:rRNA from 1 species
CAGGCUUAACACAUGCAAGUCGAGGGGCAGCAUGGUCUUAGCUUGCUAAGGCCGAUGGCGACCGGCGCACGGGUGAGUAACACGUAUCCAACCUGCCGUCUACUCUUGGACAGCCUUCUGAAAGGAAGAUUAAUACAAGAUGGCAUCAUGAGUCCGCAUGUUCACAUGAUUAAAGGUAUUCCGGUAGACGAUGGGGAUGCGUUCCAUUAGAUAGUAGGCGGGGUAACGGCCCACCUAGUCUUCGAUGGAUAGGGGUUCUGAGAGGAAGGUCCCCCACAUUGGAACUGAGACACGGUCCAAACUCCUACGGGAGGCAGCAAUGAGGAAUAUUGGUCAAUGGGCGAGAGCCUGAACCAGCCAAGUAGCGUGAAGGAUGACUGCCCUAUGGGUUGUAAACUUCUUUUAUAAAGGAAUAAAGUCGGGUAUGGAUACCCGUUUGCAUGUACUUUAUGAAUAAGGAUCGGCUAACUCCGUGCCAGCAGCCGCGGUAGUACGGAGGAUCCGAGCGUUAUCCGGAUUUAUUGGGUUUAAAGGGAGCGUAGAUGGAUGUUUAAGUCAGUUGUGAAAGUUUGCGGCUCAACCGUAAAAUUGCAGUUGAUACUGGAUAUCUUGAGUGCAGUUGAGGCAGGCGGAAUUCGUGGUGUAGCGGUGAAAUGCUUAGAUAUCACGAAGAACUCCGAUUGCGAAGGCAGCCUGCUAAGCUGCAACUGACAUUGAGGCUCGAAAGUGUGGGUAUCAAACAGGAUUAGAUACCCUGGUAGUCCACACGGUAAACGAUGAAUACUCGCUGUUUGCGAUAUACAGCAAGCGGCCAAGCGAAAGCGUUAAGUAUUCCACCUGGGGAGUACGCCGGCAACGGUGAAACUCAAAGGAAUUGACGGGGGCCCGCACAAGCGGAGGAACAUGUGGUUUAAUUCGAUGAUACGCGAGGAACCUUACCCGGGCUUAAAUUGCAGAUGAAUUACGGUGAAAGCCGUAAGCCGCAAGGCAUCUGUGAAGGUGCUGCAUGGUUGUCGUCAGCUCGUGCCGUGAGGUGUCGGCUUAAGUGCCAUAACGAGCGCAACCCUUGUUGUCAGUUACUAACAGGUCCCGCUGAGGACUCUGACAAGACUGCCAUCGUAAGAUGUGGGGAAGGUGGGGAUGACGUCAAAUCAGCACGGCCCUUACGUCCGGGGCUACACACGUGUUACAAUGGGGGGUACAGAGGGCCGCUACCACGCGAGUGGAUGCCAAUCCCCAAAACCUCUCUCAGUUCGGACUGGAGUCUGCAACCCGACUCCACGAAGCUGGAUUCGCUAGUAAUCGCGCAUCAGCCACGGCGCGGUGAAUACGUUCCCGGGCCUUGUACACACCGCCCGUCAAGCCAUGGGAGCCGGGGGUACCUGAAGUGCGUAACCGCGAGGAGCGCCCUAGGGUAAAACUGGUGACUGGGGCUAAGUC